rnacentral:rRNA from 1 species
GACGAACGCUGGCGGCGUGCUUAACACAUGCAAGUCGAACGAAGAGCGCGGAAGCUUGCUUCUAUCAAUCUUAGUGGCGAACGGGUGAGUAACGCGUAAUCAACCUGCCCUUCAGAGGGGGACAACAGUUGGAAACGACUGCUAAUACCGCAUACGAUCUAAUCUCGGCAUCGAGGAUGGAUGAAAGGUGGCCUCUACAUGUAAGCUAUCACUGAAGGAGGGGAUUGCGUCUGAUUAGCUAGUUGGAGGGGUAACGGCCCACCAAGGCGAUGAUCAGUAGCCGGUCUGAGAGGAUGAACGGCCACAUUGGGACUGAGACACGGCCCAGACUCCUACGGGAGGCAGCAGUGGGGAAUCUUCCGCAAUGGACGAAAGUCUGACGGAGCAACGCCGCGUGAGUGAUGACGGCCUUCGGGUUGUAAAGCUCUGUU